AUUGAACGCUGGCGGCAUGCCUUACACAUGCAAGUCGAACGGUAACAGGAAGCAGCUUGCUGCUUCGCUGACGAGUGGCGGACGGGUGAGUAAUGUCUGGGAAACUGCCUGAUGGAGGGGGAUAACUACUGGAAACGGUAGCUAAUACCGCAUAACGUCGCAAGACCAAAGAGGGGGACCUUCGGGCCUCUUGCCAUCGGAUGUGCCCAGAUGGGAUUAGCUAGGAGGUGGGGUAACGGCUCACCUAGGCGACGAUCCCUAGCUGGUCUGAGAGGAUGACCAGCCACACUGGAACUGAGACACGGUCCAGACUCCUACGGGAGGCAGCAGUGGGGAAUAUUGCACAAUGGGCGCAAGCCUGAUGCAGCCAUGCCGCGUGUAUGAAGAAGGCCUUCGGGUUGUAAAGUACUUUCAGCGGGGAGGAAGGCGAUAAGGUUAAUAACCUUGUCGAUUGACGUUACCCGCAGAAGAAGCACCGGCUAACUCCGUGCCAGCCGCCGCGGUAA
rnacentral:rRNA from 1 species